rnacentral:rRNA from 1 species
AAAUUGAAGAGUUUGAUCAUGGCUCAGAUUGAACGCUGGCGGCAGGCCUAACACAUGCAAGUCGAGCGGUAGCACAGAGAGCUUGCUCUCGGGUGACGAGCGGCGGACGGGUGAGUAAUGUCUGGGAAACUGCCUGAUGGAGGGGGAUAACUACUGGAAACGGUAGCUAAUACCGCAUAACGUCGCAAGACCAAAGUGGGGACCUUCGGGCCUCAUGCCAUCAGAUGUGCCCAGAUGGGAUUAGCUAGUAGGUGGGGUAAUGGCUCACCUAGGCGACGAUCCCUAGCUGGUCUGAGAGGAUGACCAGCCACACUGGAACUGAGACACGGUCCAGACUCCUACGGGAGGCAGCAGUGGGGAAUAUUGCACAAUGGGCGCAAGCCUGAUGCAGCCAUGCCGCGUGUGUGAAGAAGGCCUUCGGGUUGUAAAGCACUUUCAGCGGGGAGGAAGGCGUUAAGGUUAAUAACCUUGGCGAUUGACGUUACCCGCAGAAGAAGCACCGGCUAACUCCGUGCCAGCAGCCGCGGUAAUACGGAGGGUGCAAGCGUUAAUCGGAAUUACUGGGCGUAAAGCGCACGCAGGCGGUCUGUCAAGUCGGAUGUGAAAUCCCCGGGCUCAACCUGGGAACUGCAUUCGAAACUGGCAGGCUAGAGUCUUGUAGAGGGGGUAGAAUUCCAGGUGUAGCGGUGAAAUGCGUAGAGAUCUGGAGGAAUACCGGUGGCGAAGGCGGCCCCCUGGACAAAGACUGACGCUCAGGUGCGAAAGCGUGGGGAGCAAACAGGAUUAGAUACCCUGGUAGUCCACGCCGUAAACGAUGUCGAUUUGGAGGUUGUGCCCUUGAGGCGUGGCUUCCGGAGCUAACGCGUUAAAUCGACCGCCUGGGGAGUACGGCCGCAAGGUUAAAACUCAAAUGAAUUGACGGGGGCCCGCACAAGCGGUGGAGCAUGUGGUUUAAUUCGAUGCAACGCGAAGAACCUUACCUGGUCUUGACAUCCACAGAACUUUCCAGAGAUGGAUUGGUGCCUUCGGGAACUGUGAGACAGGUGCUGCAUGGCUGUCGUCAGCUCGUGUUGUGAAAUGUUGGGUUAAGUCCCGCAACGAGCGCAACCCUUAUCCUUUGUUGCCAGCGGUUCGGCCGGGAACUCAAAGGAGACUGCCAGUGAUAAACUGGAGGAAGGUGGGGAUGACGUCAAGUCAUCAUGGCCCUUACGACCAGGGCUACACACGUGCUACAAUGGCAUAUACAAAGAGAAGCGACCUCGCGAGAGCAAGCGGACCUCAUAAAGUAUGUCGUAGUCCGGAUUGGAGUCUGCAACUCGACUCCAUGAAGUCGGAAUCGCUAGUAAUCGUAGAUCAGAAUGCUACGGUGAAUACGUUCCCGGGCCUUGUACACACCGCCCGUCACACCAUGGGAGUGGGUUGCAAAAGAAGUAGGUAGCUUAACCUUCGGGAGGGCGCUUACCACUUUGUGAUUCAUGACUGGGGUGAAGUCGUAACAAGGUAACCGUAGGGGAACCUGCGGUUGGAUCACCUCCUUA